AACGUCUAAUUUGGUCCGCCCGCCGUCUAUGUUGCCUCACCACCGAACCACCGACUAAUAUUUACAAUUUUAUAGAAAAUUUUACAAUUGUUCCACUUCAGUACUUCAUUAUCUUUACGUCUAAAUCUAUCGAUUUCUUAACUCAAUAUCUAUUAGGUUUAACGAAAGAAAACUAUUUGAAUAAAUAUUCAAAUUAUGUUUAUAAUACUUCGUGAUCUUUAAUCGCUUUUAAAGAUGAACUCCAUGAAGAUAAUUGCCACGAGCGAUGGCUGCGAUCAUCAAUCGAAUCUCAUUUCACAUAUGACAAUAAAUUCAAUUUUUUCGAGGAAA